GUGGCACAGCGUGGUGCUACAAAGUGCACAAGCGGUCAAUUUCUGAGCACACUGGGCGCCAGCAUAAAUUGGUCAUUCCAGUUGAGGUCCCAGGCAAGACGGUAUGUACAAUUCAUAAAGAUUUCACUGAUGAUUAGAAGUUUUAGUUGUGUGUUUUCAGCCUAAAAGAAAUCCUGUCUUUUGUUCCAGCUUGUUCUUUUUGUAGGGGCGUCCCAUCUGUGCUCCCUUGCAGAAGGGAUUGUGCUGAUGCCAGAGGAUUGCCACACCUUUGGCGUCAUGUCCACUCCAGGGGCAUGCACUGACCAGCUCAGAACUGAGGAUGAAAAUGCUGUUCUUCCUCGGAUCUCUGAUGCUGUUUGUGUCAUGGCCCCUAGCAACAACCUUACGGCCAGCAAGACACCUUAGCAAGGAGGCAUAGCUUUUGGCCAAUACCUGGCCACUGUCUGCAGCGUCUGGCUGACUGCACAGGUCUUCGCUGGGACCUUGUCCCACACUUGACAGUCCCGGGGGAUAUCCAAGAGUUUUUCCGGCAUGACACCGUGUGUCAGCACGUCUCGGUGUGAAAUAUUUUCACCACGCUGACUGCUUCCCCCUGAACAACCGCAUGCUGUGGUGCUGUGAUGGUGU